CCAGACGCCAAGCCGGUGGUCUCUUUCAUCGCCGGGAUCACAGCUCCUCCCGGCAGAAGGAUGGGCCACGCCGGCGCCAUCAUUGCUGGUGGAAAAGGGGGAGCGAAAGAGAAAAUUGCUGCCCUGCAGAACGCCGGGGUCGUGGUCAGCAUGUCUCCUGCUCAGCUGGGCUCCACGAUGUACAAGGAGUUUGAGAAGAGAAAAAUGCUGUAAGGCGAGGAUCCGCUGAAACGUGCCGUCACUGAAAUACCGCCGAAAUACCAACACAGCCUGUCACCUCCUGCGUCUCUCCGUCCUUGUCACAUGCUAAUUUUUCUUUGCCCGAAUACAUCGGUUUUUCUGAAUUCAGCUUUAAAGCCACAAGGUUUAUUUCAGUGGCUCCUCUGUUCAGACACGAUUGUACAUCAUAGAAAAAAAAGAAUAAAUCUACCACUAAACUUGAUUUUAUUUGAAA